UACCAUGCAAGUCGAACGGAUUCUAUUUGUGCUUGCAUAAAUAGAAUUAGUGCCCAAUGGGUGAGUAAUACAUGGGAAUUUUCCUUGUAGUAUGCAAUAACUAUUGGAAACAGUAGCUAAUACCAUAUAUUGCCGAGAGGCGAAAGAUUUAUCGCUACAAGAUAAGCCCAUGCAAGAUUAGCUUGUUGGUAAGGUAAUGGCUUACCAAGGCUGCGAUCUUUAGCUGGUUUGAGAGGAUGAUCAGCCACACUGGAACUUAGACACGGUCCAGACUCCUACGGGAGGCAGCAGUGGGGAAUAUUGGACAAUGGGCGAAAGCCUGAUCCAGCGACGUCACGUGAAUGAUGAAGACCUUAGGGUUGUAAAAUUCUUUUAGUGGAGAAGAUAAUGACGGUAUCCACAGAAAAAGUCCCGGCUAACUUCGUGCCAGCAGCCGCGGUAAUACGAAGGGGGCAAGCGUUACUCGGAAUUAUUGGGCGUAAAGCGUGCGUAGGCGGCUUUAUAAGUUGGAAGUGAAAGCCUUUGGCUCAACCAAAGAAUUGCUUACAAAACUGUAAAGCUAGAGUAUUAGAGAGGAUAGAAGAAUUUCUGAUGUAGGGG
rnacentral:rRNA from 1 species